rnacentral:snRNA from 1 species
GUGCUCCCUUUGGCAACACAUAUAUUAAACUUUGGAAAAUACAGAGAAGAUUAUCAUUGCUACUCCAUAAGGAUAACACACAAAUUUGUGAAGUGUUCCAUAUUUUU